rnacentral:piRNA from 1 species
UGAGUGCUCUCCAUUCUGGAGCUGUCCAGGC